rnacentral:lncRNA from 1 species
GUUUCUAUGAAUCUAAAAUCCACUCUCACAAGUCUUAUUUGUUCUCCAUGGUUAUUUAUAGAACUUGAGAAACCCUCCCAUUUUCAAGGAUCCUAUAUUUAACCGUCCCAACUAUAUAAAUAUGCACAAUCUCAUUUCCCCUUUCAAUUAACCUCUAUCAAUUCAACAUUCUCUAAUACAAUAACAUCCGAGACCUUUCUCAUACCGAGAAACAAAAUGGCGUUCAACAUCAAGCUUCUUAUGGCCAUGUGCUCCGUCGCAUUGUUCUUCACUCUUGUCUUUGCAGACCUUUCCAAAGAAGAUAUGGAUGGCUUCGUGGAGGAACACAACAAGGCCCGCGCCCAGGUCGGCAACCGUCCACUCAAAUGGAACGCGACCCUAGCCAAAUAUGCCCAAGAUUAUGCAGACAAGAGAGUUGAUGACUGCGCCAUGGAGCACUCAAUGGGGCCUUAUGGUGAGAACUUGGCCUCAGGAGAAGGCAUAUCUGGAGCAGCUGCCGCCAAGUAUUGGGUCACUGAGAAGGAGUUUUAUGACUACGAGCUAAACAAAUGCGUCCGAGACGAAUGUGGACAUUACCUUGGUGUGAUUUGGGGCAAAACCACCGAAGUUGGUUGUGGCAUUUCAAAGUGCAAGAAUGGACAAAACUAUGUCAUCUGCAACUAUGAUCCUGCUUAUAAUGAGGAGGACCAUCCCUACUAGACACUAAAUUUACAUGUCACACAAACAUACGUGCACACCUCGACUAGGCCUGUUUGGGGGUCUUGUAUUUUUGUUGUUGAGAAAUUAGAAGAAUAAGAGGGGAUAGAGGCGAUUUACAUGUAACGGGUGUGUACGAAUUUACCUCCUCACCCUCACAACAUUCUUUUACGUGACUAUUGAUUAUAAGAGGAGAUGGCAUAUAUAAAAAAUAAGUAAAAAUUAUUUCAUUUUUUGUAUGUUUUUAUGUCAUUGUCUUUAUUUUUAAUUGUCAUCAACCUCUCUUUAAUUAAUACUAAUUAACUCUUGAUUUUGGGCUAGUGAUACUUCUCUUCCUAAAACUCAAAGAGAUUUG